AUUGAACGCUGGCGGCAGGCCUAACACAUGCAAGUCGAGCGAGCGGCGGACGGGUGAGUAAUGUCUGGGAAACUGCCUGAUGGAGGGGGAUAACUACUGGAAACGGUAGCUAAUAUCGCAUACCAUCAGAUUUGCCCAGAUGGGCUUAGCUUUUAGGUGGGGUAAUGGCUCACCUAGGCGACGAUCCCUAGCUGGUCUGAGAGGAUGACCAGCCACACUGGAAAUGAGAAACGGUCCAGACUCCUACGGGAGGAAGCAGUGGGGAAUAUUGGACAAGGGGCGAAAGCCUGAUGCAGCCAUGCCGCGUGUGUGAAGAAGGCCUUCGGGUUGUAAAGCACUUUCAGCGAGGAGGCGUUACUCGCAGAAGAAGCACCGGCUAACUCCGUGCCAGCAGCCGCGGUAAUUC
rnacentral:rRNA from 1 species